rnacentral:lncRNA from 1 species
UUGGUACAUGAUCAUAUAUAUGGGUGUCAAAUAUAAAAAGGGAAGGCCAUUAAUCAUUGAUGAUUAAGAGAAGUUUUGUGUGACAAAAAGAAAAGAAAAAGAGAUCUGAAAAUCAUGGUGAGGUGUGAGUUAUUUUGUGCGACAAAAGAAAGGGAGGGCCAAAUCAGAUUUGGCAUGAAGUUUCUUGGUGUGAAGAGUUCUUGACAUGCUUUUUUUGGUGUGAAGAUUCCAAUCUGA